AGAGGAACAGGAGAGGUGCGCGCUCUCCUCGCCUCCCCCACAACAGCAGCAGCAGCAUGGGUACUGAAGCCAUUUCUGAGUAAUCCUCUGGUUCAGUGGAGUAAACUGGUCCGUAGCGGGAGCAAAACUCAAGCCAGUGAGACUGGAGACGUUGUCAAUGAAAAGGCAAACACCCACAUGCUUGAAAUUGAACAGCGUCUGCAGGGUGUGAUUAAGGCUAGGAAUCGCAUAAGAGGUCUGCCGCUGUCUUCUGAAGGACAUGUCGACUACCUAACUCAAGAGGCCACAGAUCAUGAAAACCAUCUGAGCCAUAUAUACCUUGGCUGGGCACCUUACAUGUGACAACUCUUCAUCAAGACUCACUGAGCCCAGACUGACUUCACGUUAGGAUUUACAUUCCACUAUGCCAAUCAGCAA